UAUAUAUAUAUAUAUAUAUAUAUAUAGCAAUGGCAAUCACUGCCGAGAUCGCCACCGCCUACCCCAGCAACGGCGGCUUCCACUCUCUCUCUCUCGUGACUACUAGUAUUUACCUAAUCUGUUACAGGGAACUAGCUUUUCAUGUUGUGGCUUUCUAUUUCCUCAAAUCACGACUUCAGUUUUUACAUUUUCCCUCAUUUUUCUGCGUUUUUAUUAUUAGGGUUCAGUUUAAUCUUUUCUGUUACUGGCCUCCCUAUACAUUUCCGCAGAUUUAUAGAAUAUUAGCCAAGCCAUGAGAAGAAGAAGAAGAAAUUCAGCCUGACAUGGUUUGUUUCUGUUUGGAUUUGCACUUUGAUAGAGGAGAGCCGUUUCUUUGGUGGAGUUGUCCAUGGUUUGUUGGAAAGGUAAAAAGGAAAAGAUAAAUUGAAGUUCAUUAAAGUAGCUCAAGUGAGAGCUUCAUUAUCAACCACUCCGGCGCCAGUUUCCUUCAUCAAAUUGGUGAGUUUCAGAACGACGAAUAAAUCAGAAAAGCAAAGAAUCCUAACCCUAAAUCAUUUGCGAUGAAUCAGAUUCUCCAAACACCAAUUCCACAAUUAUAGCUGCUAUAUCUUGUGCAGUUGCUGAUGAUAAUGCUCUUCUCAACUCAUCUUCAUCACCUCUGAAGCCCCUUUCAGAUGACGAUUUGUUCUCCUCCGCCUCUUUCGCCUCUUCCUCCUCCUCCGAUGUUCAUGCCGACAAGCCUUCGUCACCUUCGCCGCCACCUGCUCUUGAUCAGCCUCAGAUCCCUAUAUUAUGGACUUCAGACGGCAAUCUAACCCUAGAUUGGGUAUCGCAGCCUUUGAUUGCCUUCGGUGAAAUUAUCACAGCCUCCGCGACAGAGUCAUGUUACUUUCCUUUUCCAUCUCCUGUCAUGUCACAUAUUAAUAUAUGUGAUUUAUAUUAAUAAAAUAUUAUUUAUGUGAUAUAUAUUUAUAAAAUAUUAAAGGGUGUUUUAGUCAUUUAACAUGGUCAAUGGUCGGAAUAAAAUGCCGAACAGUUUGGAGGGAGAUCAAUGUAAUUUUUGAAAUGUAAAAAGUACUGUCUGUAAUUACGCCUAAUCUCAGAGGAGGCAAGUGAAACUAUUCUUUUUAUGGUACUAAAUAAAUUAUUUAUGGUGAUUUUGUGCGCAAUAAUUAAAGCUCCUCUAACCCCAAAUUUUAUUAUUAUUAUUAUUUUUGUAACA